UACGGGGGGAGCAAGCGUUGUUCGGAUUUACUGGGCGUAAAGGGCGCGUAGGCGGUCAGCACAAGUCAGUUGUGAAAUCUCCGAGCUUAACUCGGAAAGGUCAACUGAAACUGUGCGACUAGAGUGCAGAAGGGGCAACUGGAAUUCUUGGUGUAGCGGUGAAAUGCGUAGAUAUCAAGAGGAACACCUGCGGCGAAGGCGGGUUGCUGGGCUGACACUGACGCUGAAGCGCGAAAGCCAGGGGAGCAAACGGG
rnacentral:rRNA from 1 species